rnacentral:tRNA from 1 species
GCCAUAUAGAUGGCAAAGGGCACUGAAAAUCCUCGUGUCGGCGGUUCGAUUCCGUCCCUGGGCACCA